UCUCAGUUUUAUUUCUUUUAUUCGUUUAGAAAAUAUGAAACACGGAUAUCGAAAAUAUGGUAAAAGAAAACGUGAAAUAAUUUUAUGAAUGGAAAUAUCAAAAAGAAAAAGCAUUCCGAAUGUUUAGCCCUUUUUUUUACCAUUUAAAAAGUAUUUCGAUACUUAUACAGGAAACAGAACAGAACUAUACAGGAACGUUGAAUUGGUACUUGAAAUUCGACAUUUCUAUGUCAUUUUAUUCGUUUAAUGCGUUCAAUAUGCGAUAAAACUUAUUGUAUUAAAAACAGAAUGAGUUUUAUACGUUUAUACAUCGCUCGAACAAGCAAAAUUUAUAUAUAUAGGGGGAAUAUAGUUAAUAAAUUCGGAAAAUUUCAAGUAAAGAGGAAAAGAACGAUCAAAGAGACGUAAUACGAUUUUAUAUCAGAACUCCAUUAGAAAGUUAGAUAAUGUUUUUAAAACGUGAAAUUUUUCUAACGAAAUGUAUUAUGCCAACUAAUUAAUUAAUAUCAUCAUCACUAGUCGAACUUUUAUUUGUGCGAUAAAUGUAUUUUAAUAAAUUAUAUUUUAAUAAAACCAAUAUCCUACGUUAUUAGUAGAACGUUGUAAUCGACCUAUACAACCUGCAACAAUCUGCUAUAGUCAAACAUCGUUAUAUGUGUUUCUAUUCGCUAUGGAAUUCAACUAUAAUCCACGUGGCGAUAGAAUUUAUUCUCCUUUCAGGAGAGGAUCAACAGUGAUAUGUGUAUACGCAUGUAACGAAAAGAAAUACUCUUAAAGUAAUAAUAUAUAACGUUUUACUAAAUACAUAAUUUAUAUAUUUAUUAUUAACAAAAUAACUAUUUUAUAUGUAACAGAAUAACUUGAAGUAUUAACGCACACCACUCUAUUCUCUUAUACAUCUCAAACAGGAACGAAUUUGUUUUAUUGCAUAUUCAUUCAUUCCGUGUUUUCCUUUUGUCUUCCUCUCUUUCACUCCUUGCUCGCACAAUACGGAUGUACACACAUCUAUUUUCUAACAAAUACAAAAGGAAAUAAACAUCAAAGAAUUUUUUUUAUUUGUAAUAUUAAAUAAUAAAUGUAUUCGUAUUACAAAUUCCGGUUUUGGUACUAUACACGUAAUGUCGACUGACACCUAAUAGCAGCAUAGAAUAUCAUUUUAAAAACAUAAUACAAAUGAGGAAACGUAGGGAAAUUUCUCGGGAUUGAAAUUUUCAAAUCUCAAGACGAAAAAAGUUGGAGACUUUGUAGCAGCUUGUUUGAAAACUGUGGCAUUAAAGUUUCCUCCGGCUUUCCUCGUCUAAGUUUCCAUUCCAUUGAGGAUUUCUGCUUUCGUAACUAGGUUGCAACCCAUAUAGGUACAUGGUGUAUGUAUUAUAAUAGGCGUUGAAGUGCGGCUGGUUUAAAAUUCAAUGGUUCGUCCUCUCGAGAUUAAUUGGAAAUCGAUAUUCUAUUAUCGAAAGUAAUAUCGUACUAUACCGUGACCAAUUCUUAAUCAGAUAUCAGGUAGAUACACUUCUAACAUCUUUAUCGUCGUGUUGUCUUUUCCCUCGUUUCUCCUCUCUUUUUUUAAUCUCGAUAAUGGAUCUUUGAUCUUUUUUCAAUUGGGGAACGUUUCUGCAAAGUUUGUUAAGUUUCUCAAAAUCCGUUCGCUUGAAAUUUAUAAGUACUUGAAUUCCAUUAACGACAUAACGCAGAUGGAAAGAAGAAUCCUGCCUUUUUUAGUAGAUAUGUACAAUAUAUCCUGAUUAAAAGAAUAAAGAGAUAUUGCCUCAAAAGUAAUACUAUUUCUUAUCGAAGAUUUCUUUUCACGUAGUGGCAAGCGUUCCAAUUUCUUUGAAUUUUUAUUGAAAUGCAGUCUAUUUCGAAACGAAAUAUUAUUGGCAGAGAUAAUGUAAAAAAAAUAUUAAAACUAUAUCUAUAGAUAGGGCUCAUUAUAAAAAAUAUACCAGUGAAGUGUAAGAUGUAAAACGUAGAUAUAGAUUAUAAUAAUUUAAUUAUACGUGACAAUUAUUAUGCUCAAUCAAGUCUUCAUUCUUUGAUCAUUUGCCCUUUGGACAUAGCAACUAUUUUUUUUUUAUGGCUUUCCACGCUCAUACACACACACCUACAUAUGUUCACACGCUAGAAUUCUUUAUCAAACAUAUUUUCUCAUGACACAUGCACUUUUAUUUACAAAAAUAUCAGGUCACAGUGGGCUUUCUUUUACCAUACGCGUUAUACGCGUUUGCAAUACUUAAAAUCUCCAGAUCAGAAACGAAAAACUCUACCUUUCAAAGUAAUUUUUGUUUUACACCCAUACCAGUUUUUGCCGCCGACCGUAAUUUCGAGCAAUACACUACCCGCUUCUUACUUGUACACACGAUUCUCUCUCUGACGCAUUUUCCUCGACCCAUUGCAUCGCAAGCUUCGUGUUCGCGACCUGGUCUGCGACAGACGCUGACUUAGCAUCUUUUUUACUACUACCACCGGUAUAUCUAGGAAAAGAUAUGGGUCAGUUCGUUUCCUGAAUUUCGACCGCCAUUCGGUUUUUAGCGCUACGCUUUUAAGUCUUGUAUCUUGAGAACCAUUUAAGGUGUUCGCUUGAAGCAAAAAUGCAUUGUCAAGGAUGUACUUUGCUUUAUCAUGGACGAGAUACAGCGGGACCUGGUACCUUAUAGGAUUAGGAUUUUGUGUUAUGAAAUACCGAUCGCUCAGAAAAAUGACUUUGCUAAAGUACGUAUCUAAGAUGUAGAGCAGCGAACGUAGCAGUUACAUAUAUUCAAUUCAUAUCGAAGAUUAUCUGUAUAAUAAAUAAAAUUGUUCUCAAUUAAACAGAUAAAGUACAUAUCUGCGAUAAUGGCGAGAAUACAGAUAUCCAUACUUAAUUAAGAUUUCAAACAUGAGAAGAUUUUCAAAUCUUUAUAAAACUAUUCUAUUAGCUAUUCUAUAAAUAGCUAAUGCUUACUAUAUAAUACAUACAUGUGAGUAUGCAUCGAUAUAUCGUAUCAGAUUUUAUCUGCUUCUCGACAAACGAGCUACUUGAAUAAGGGAAGUUCGAUUCCAUAGUAUCUUUGAUCUCAAUCCUAUCGACCAUAUAAUGAUCCUCACGAUGAGUAGAAUACGAUGUAACGAAAAAGAUUUCACCUUGAAUUUCAAUGUUAAGGUGAAUUUUUCGGCUACAUUUGUUCGCAGGUUUUCACCGAUCCAGAAGUGUAAAAUAACUCUACGGCCGAUUCGAUUAUAUGAGUUGCGUGCAUUCAUGUAUAUGCAAUAUAGCGGCAGGCUCGAUGAAAAAUCGUUUUUCGAUGUGAAAAAUGUGAUAUUAAUGUGGAUUGUAGAAAUUCUUCCGCGCUGAAACAUUUCAUAGCGAUUCAUAAAGAUUGAUCUUCCCUAUAGCAUCCUGUCACCGUGCUUUGCUUUUGUUCCCGACUAGCGAAUAUGGGUCAUGCGUAUAAUGUAUACACUUCCAGCAAUCAUAAGUUGAACGCAUUUUUACGACAGGAAAUGUUGUUGAUAAGAACGAUAUACCAAUUUUAAUUCGAAAAGCGUAUAAAGGUAGAAAAAUGUAUGUUUAAGUAUGUCGGAGAUGAAAGGACAUCGAAGCCUCCCCUUUGGAACUUCGGGAUAAUCCCCUAACACCGUAAUCUAGAUUCUAUCUAUAGGCGUAAUUAAACAAUUGUCGUCUUUCGAUCCGAUUGUAUUUGUUUGAGAUUUGUGAUAGUGAGCUUGGGCUUGAGGCGACAGCCAGUCGCCGAACGUAGCCGCGGUCACGGGAUGAACGCUUUGUCUAACAAAGGUAAGGAGUAAUUCUAUAGCUCUCCUUAAAAGAAAUAUUUGUAGCGGCACGCGACAGUAAACAUUCCAACGGUUUCUGUCCCGUGGCUCGCCACACGCAGAUCCUAUUCUUCGGGUAUGAUGGUUACCAGAUGCAAACGCGUCUCCACAGUACGUGAUCAGCUAGUCCGAGGGCCGUUAUAAACACUAAGAUCUAGUUACCUAAGGUCCUUCAAACAGACAAACAGUCUUUGUCCCAACUACGGGAAGAUAGGAGAGACCUAUUUUUCAACGAACGGCGUCUCCCACCAGCAACUUUCUCUCGAGGGCGGCUAGCAUCUUUUUCUAACCACCGAUAUGGAGAUUGACCAAUUAGCAGCAACGCCAAUUUCCCUCGCCUUCUGAACGAAGGCUAUCCCCGACGAAUCCGAUGAUCUCGUGUCCUUAGACACACCCUAUCAUAGUUUUCCUCCGCAGCAUCAUCGCGAUGGAAAGUCAUUCUCUCGUGAGGUUGUAUUAGCGAGUUACUUUGUGUCUGUACGCUCGGUGGAUAUCCCCCGUUUUAACAAAGAGUUCGACUUAGAUAUUGUGAGCAUGUUCAUCUAUCAUCCCGUUGACCGCGGAUUCGUUAUUGAACCUAAGAUCAUUGUCAUUAGUUUCUCGAGUAUCUAAUUACCACGGUUACUUGUCCAAUUCUAUAAUAAUCGUAUUUGCACUAGUUAAUGUCUUCUCUAUUGCAUAACGACAUCGUGUAGUCCGAACGAAGAUUCGUUUCACGCCCCUAACUCUAAUUCUAAUGUAAACCCGACAAGUAUAUGAUAUUUAUACCUAAAAAAUUAUUCAAAUGGGAAGUGGACGAAUGUUUUCACUUAUUUGUAUGAUACGUUAGUUUUCAAUAGCCGUGAAAUAGAGUCUGUUCUUUUCUUCAUACUUUUGAGGAGUGAGCGAAGUGCAAAAAAAGAUAACAAGUUUUCUUCCGAAGCAAUCGAGACACCAAAAAAACACGAGAAAGGCAAUGUUAAUUUUUGUCCUUUGAAAUAAUCCGACGAAAUAUUUCUCCAAUGAAAACAAUAUCUUCAUCAAGUUCCAUUGUUUUCAUUACUAUAAUUAGAUUUAUAUCCGUAAUUGUGCCACAACUACUGUUUAUAAUAUUUUUAUAAACUUCCAGGCAUUUUUUAUUCUAGAAUUACAUAGCUCUUAUAGAUAUAGUAUAUACUUGCAAAAACGUGUAAUCGUAAUUGUUUUAUACGAGAUUCGUCUAGCGAUUUAAAGAAUGUAAGAAGACAAUUUUGUAUUCACGGAGUACGUAGAUUAUUCAGGAGAAAAGAAUUCAUCAAAAGAGCACUUAGGGGAUCAAGAGAUUCAAUGAAAUUUUUGCCUCCUAAAAUUUGUAAUAUAUAUUACUUGUACGACCUAAAAUUAAAAUUUUGUUGGGCGCAACGACGAGAGAGAGGAUUCAUCGACAUUCGUAUGGACGUCGCUCUAUGACGUUCAUUCGCUAAAGAAUUCAUGGAAUAUCGCAUGAAGCUCGCUAGCAUUAAUUCCAAACGGACAAUCGCGUAUUCUUGGUCAAAAGCAUGGCACGAGCUAAAUAAUUGAUCGCUAGCUUUUAAAAGAAGAGAAAUAUAAAAAAAAGCUAAAAAAGAAGGAAGAAGAAACUCGCUUUCGUAUCGUUCGACUCGUGUGAUCGGAAGAUAAUUUCGUGUGCUGUGAUAUAACUUGAAGGGUCGGCCGAAGGAGAAAGAGGGAGCACGUGUAAAAAAGGAAAGGGUAAUCCAUUCCGUCCGCCAGCGAGCUAAUUGCAAGGUAGAGUCACGCUUCGUUACCUUCGUGACAUUAUCUCACGCUGUCCAAACUUUGUUCGGACAACUUUUCGUAGAGUGUAUCGCGUGGGAUGCGGUUGACUCAAAAAGUUAUGUGAUCAUUGCUAGCAGGCUUGUAUUUUAUUCAGCCACGUGAGUAACGAUAGUUCUAAAGCUCUGGUGGAGAUACGUAGCAUGUACGUUUGUUGCGCACGUGUUUCGAAAUUGUAUCGACCCUAAAAUUAAAGCUACGGAGUGCACAAUCAAAAUUUCCGAUUCCCACUCCGAUUCCUCCUUUUUUUAUUUCCGACUACGACUCUGACUCCGAUCCCGACUCCGAGCAACAUUUAUGAUAAAUUGUUGACAUACUAAUUAUACAUACGUAUGUAAAUAAUUAAAUUAUUAAUACUUAGUAUAUUUACAUAUAUAUUAUAUAGAGUAUGAAAAACUAAAACUAUGCUAACAGUGAAAGUAAAUAAGGAAAAAAAUGAUGAAGAUAAAGGCGCCAGUAAAGAAGAAAGAUAUUUGUUAUAUACGGUAGAAUAUAUUAUAUAAAUUCUCUUUCUAAUGUGAAAAACAGUAAGUUCGAUAUUUAUAAUUCAAUAUUUACAGUUUUGUGCAACACGAGAUCUCAUAGAAAUGUAACAGCCGUUCUAUAUUACUUAUUAUUAUUACAGUAUUAGAGGAUUAUCCAUACCUUAUACUUUUAUAAAUACAGAGAUACAAAGUAUUUUUGAUUAAUAUAUAAACAAUUUUAUUACAAAUUUUAAUAAUAUCGUGCAUAUUUUUGAUUUUUGUAAAAUUUACAAACAGGAAGUCGGAGUCGGUAUAUUUUCUACCAUCUUCACCUCCGGCUCCAGUGAUUAGAAAUUCCUUCUGAACUUCGAUUCCGACUUCAAUUCUACUGUCUAAAACGUCGUCCGAUAAUACCAAAAAGCUUCGAAAUCAAUUUCAGAAUCUUAAAAUUUGUUCGAUAAACUUGUUAGUUUCAAAGAGGGAGAAGCGAGGGUAACUUUCUCGAUCAGAGUUGCAACCAUCCAAUUUAUAAAUAAAUAUUCCGAGGAACAUAUCGAGUCGAUUUCGUUCGCUUCACUUGUUUCGCGGAUUCAUAAUCUCUAUGGUGAAUUGAAAUGCUAGUAAUUAAAACGUCAAAAUUCGAAACGCAUGACACGAAUGAGCGCAACAUAGAAGGUGUCUGAAAGUGUAGUUGGCGAUGUUAAACUUGAUAGACAUUCGUUGAUACGCACGAACAUUUGCACACGCGGUUUGCAGAAUAGAGUGAAAAUAACAAGCAAAAGUAAUUAUGGGCUAUGUGUGUGUCAUUGUCCGUCUUGCUUGUUCCUAAAUCAUGUAUCUACAUCGUUGGUUAAUUAUCGACGCCGCGAAAUUAUUCUGUCUAUCGUAAUGCGCGUUUAAUUUUGUGUGGAAAUGAAAUGAAAAAGAUAAUUACAAAUAAUGAAAGAUCUCGAAUUAGUGCUCUUUUUUUUAAUGUUUAAUGCAGGAGUAUUAUCUACAGCAGAAUACUUUUUCCUUUAAUAUGGUUAACAACGAUCGACAACAAGACAGUACUUUAUGAAUAUACACGGUGGUUGUUGGUAACUGCUGGUACAAGUGGAAAGGGGGUGUGGCGGAUGAAAGGGGAAUGAGCGUUUCGUCCCGGGAUUACCGGUGGACUCGUCAAUAAGGCUAUGCCCGGUAGUCUCUGCCUUAGACGUAGAGGGAGUCUCGCUAGGUACGGUAUUUGUAUCAAUCGCUCGUAUAUUCGACCGCUAGCGAGUUAGACAGACUCGUUGUCGUCGUAGCCCUCUAGUGUUGGCGGUUGGUACCAGCGGAUCGCCCGGGAGGUGUUGCGCCGCGUUGAUGCCUCGACCUGUCGGCGUCCUAUUGAUACCGAUCCACCACAGGGGUGAUUCUACGCCAAAAAAGAAGUCGAAAAUAUAGAAUAAAAAAUUUUUUUAAUUCUUUUUUUUUAAUUUUUCCAUCGAGACAACGAUCUACAGUGAGAUCCGUUAUAACGAUACGUGAUAAAGUGCACGCGUACCGAGCGAAAAUUCAAAGUCGAUUUUCUCGAAAACAAAGCCUCAAACGAAAAAUUUUUAUUCUAUAUUUUCGACUUCUUUUUUCGCGUAGAAUCACCCCCUUUCCGCUUGUACCACCAGUUACCAACCACCCUGUAUAAUAUUGGUUCGCCAAAUUUAAACUAUCGAGAAACGACAUUUGAUAUGCACCAGCCUAAUGCGUGAAAUAAUGCCCAGAUGAAUAUCUAACAACAGCGUACGAUACAAGCUCUACGUACAAAGAAACAAAGCAUCUUGCAUCACGUGCUAUCCGUAUGAAUAGCUAAUGGUUAUUGUAGGAGCGACUUGUGUAAGUCCAUAGCGCAAUUUGUUAGACACGCUCUCGGAAUGGUUUUAUGUAAUAACCUAUUAACUGAUAAUACACGUUUUCUAGCCGAGAACCUUCUGCUAAAUCGACCGUCACAAGAUCGCAUUUAUCGAAGAAACGUUACGAGCAGAUUGCCGGGCGAUCAAAAACUAUGACUAAAUUCGACGACUAGCCGCGUACCAGCUGAUUACUUCAAUGAGUCUAUCAUGGUCGCCUGCGAUUUUCCGACAGUGCGUAAUAACCCUAAGAUCCGACCCAUUACUAGGACCUAGCCUAGUCUACGACAAUGGCACAGCGGCAUCGCAGUGCCUGCGACGCUGUGUAUCGGGUCUAAUGGAAUUAACUACCGUGUUUCUUUGUUUAGAUUCCACAGCUGCAGUGCAUUAAUCGAUAAUUAGGAUACACUUAUCAUACACAUAUACAUAGAUGUCAACAUCGAUCUUGAUGUCGUCAGUCGUGAUGAAAAUUCAUUACUGGCAGAGAUUAGCGUGAAAUUCAAUGAUCGAUAAAUUUCUGACGAAGUUAUAUUCCACUGUAAAUCAAGCUUAUGAUUGAUAAGCAAUUUGAUCUCUCGUUAAUGAUUCCACGCGAAGAUUCGUAGCUUUUAUUCUGAAUUAUUAAAACGAAAUAUUUUCUAAAAGAUGGUUAACAUUGUGAAUAAUGUUAUUUCACGUCAAAGAAACCAGGUUUAACAUCCCGCGAUCUUACCUUUUUUAAUUUCUUUGAAAGACCAACGUCCAUACCUUAAACGAUAGUACGAGCAAUCAGGGGAAAGCGUCGAGUAACCAAGCUUCCCUGUGUGCUUUUAGAAAAUGACGAAGUUGAAGGGGUAAGUUGCAAAUUCUACGCGGAUUGGAGGGUGUCACGCGAGAAAAUACUUUUAAGUCGUCGCGUUUCUUCCAACAACGAUCGACGUAUUACAGAGCACGCCAAUCCAAUUAUUCGUGCGCUAAUAAAAUACGCUUUAACCGCUGGAUAUCGUGUCAUGUGAAUAAAUCUAGGCCCAGGGAAAGUUUAUUCGUUUUAAUUCCGAUUUAUGUGCUAUGUUGUAUUGUUUCGUUCAGUACAGAAAUCGAUGAGAAACGUAAAAAUCCAAUUGACUCUGAUAUCGAUUCGCGAUGCAUCUGCAGAAAAUUCCUGCUGUAAAUACAUUACGCGAGUACGGCGAGUCGGGGAAACAGGCGCGAGAAUGAGGUAAAUGUUGAAAUUAGAGUGUGUGCGAAGAAUUCACAACGAUACGCGAUUUUUAAAGGUUCCUUGUGUUUCGUUUACCACGACCGUCGGUUCUUUUUAUAAAUUCUUACGCCGCGUUUUUCAGACUACUACGGUCAUAUUUGAUUAAUGCCGCGUUGGAUCUCUGCGAGAAAAUAAUUUCGCUGCCAAAGUAGAUCCGAUUGCAGAUUGAGCGAACGCAGUUGGGAGAUUUUAGAAUUUUAUACGACCCGCUAUUUCUUUUUAAAUUUAGAUCAAAGCGAAGAAAAUCGAAUCUUGGAAAAUAUAAAAGUACAGAGAGUAAAAUUGAAAGUUGCUUCGCACUUUAGUUAUACACAUAAAUAUAUAGGUAUACUAUUACACUUACAUUUAUGUAGUUAUACUAUGAGUCGCGUGCUACGAUAUUAUAAAACAUAGAACUACAGAUACAACGUUAUUUUAUUUUUGAUUUGUAUAUUUAUUCUCGUAUUUGCAUUAUUUUCUUCUCUUUGAGUAACCAGUCUAUUGUAGUCAUUAUUCACUCCAAUAUUUAGACCGUGACUUUUGUUACGUAUUGUGAUGUCUUUUAUGAUUUGUUAUUUAGAACGAGUGGAUUUCUUUGCGAGUCUGUUAAUAAAACCUUUAUGGUGUUAUAAAACGGAGAUUAAGCCGUUAUUUUAUAUUCGAAUACAUAACAAAUAUACCAAUAUAUAAAUAUAUAUUAAAUUAAAUAAAAAAGAAAACCGAUUUAACGUCUGGACUCUUUAUUCUAGAUUUUUCGUAGUUAAAGUAUUAGAUAUGCAAUUAAAACGAGAUUUCUAAAAAGAGUUAGAAGUUUAUUAGACGAAUAAAAAAUUCAUAAACUAUUCCAAAUUAGACGGUACACUGUCCCACUUACUGAAUUUUUUCUAAAAAUACAGUACAAGGUAAGGAGUAUUUUUAUGGACUUAGCACACGCAAGGACACCGGUGACUCCGAUAAAAACCAAAGGUAAAAUUUGCUACGGCGGUUAAUCCAAUCAAUCCGUGGAAACGCAUUUAUUUUGGUCCAAGUUUUUGCACCUUUAUUGCGAACGUAAAGUCAAACAACAGAAGCUAAAAAAUACAGAAAAGAGGAUGACGCCAUAAACUAAACGGGCUCUUUCUCGACAACGGGUAACAAAAGAUCGCGUAUUGAAUGCUAUCAAAAGUAUGUAUACAUAUCCGUUGGCCGGCAGUUCUCUGUGUAGGUCGCGCCGCAGCCGCAGCUGCAAAUGUUUGUAUCCUUUAUUACAAGCACCGUUUGUUCCUACGCUACGUUUGCAUUGCCGCGAGAAAGUUUCUUUUGGUUGUGCCCACGGUCUAGCUAGCAGCCAUUGACACACGUGCAUAGAAGAAAACGCGUCACUAUACGAGAGACAGAUACAUAAAAUAGGAGGGACUGCAAUCAGUGAAACGGAGAUGGAGAAUAUCAAAAGAGAAAAACGAAAGGAGGAAAAGGAGAAAUGCAAAAAUAGCGAAGAAGAGUGAAAGGAAAAGAAGGUUAAAAGCAGAGGAAGCGGGGCGAGUAUUGGAAAGGAGCAAAGAGCGCAAUUGAUGCGUUCUAGGGAACCGGAAAAAUUGAGCUGACAAAUGGAACGGAUAAGGUUACAGAAGUGACAUUAAUUUCGAGACGUAGGAAACAAAGUACCGUAUAGGGUAUAGCAACGGAUGUUAGAAAAGUUUUUAUUAGGUUUGUUCGUUAUAAGUUAUUGGUAUGCUGUCAUCCAGCUACGGAUUUCGUGAAAAGGGGGGAAAUGGAAAUUUUGUAUCGUUAAAUCGAUGUAGAGGCGAGUUUUUAAGACCGUUCGGGAAACGCCGAAUUGACAUUUACCGGCAGAAAACAACCGAAACUCAAACGCCGUUCCAGAAGAAGCAGAUGGAAUCAAGAUUCAAGAAAGAAUCGGAGUUUACACGUCAAAACGAAAAAGAGAAAGCAAGAUGGUCGGUUAAAUAAAAUCAUUGAUAAGAACGAAAGAAACGGAAAUAAAGGACGAGGAGAAGAAAAAAGCACGAGGGAAUGUUCCUUUGCUAUUAUCGGGUCGCCAUUUUUCUUCAUCAACUCCGUCCGACUAUGGGAUCUAAAUUCUUCUCCUUCGUUCUUUCUUACCUCUUCGACUUACAAUCGAUGUCAGGAAUGAUUCAUCCGUUUUGCUCUUUCUAUCCACCGUCGAAUGAAUUUCUGCUCGACAGAAACGUUGAAGACCUAUACGCAUUUGAAGAAACGAAACGAUGCCGCAAAGCGACGAGAGUUAACAUCUCGAACGUUGUUCGAACGACCAUUUUAUCGAUGUUUCUCGUUAAUAAUGCGGUAAAGUGUAUCAUACAAGUUUAAAGCUGCGUGCACGCCACGUAAUAUAACGCGUUACACAUAACAAGUUAUAAAACUUAACGAGGUACUUCGUACACGUAGAAGCUUCGAGAACCUAUUACGCGACGUAUAAUAAUACGAGGUUAUAUGACGUCUGACCAUAACUAAAUUGUAACUACUGAAUCCACGAGCGGUCCAAAGGAAAUGCAUAAUUCAUCGAGUAAUCGCUCUCGUGGAACGCUUGCGAUUUUGUUAAGCAGCAAUUCCAGCGUAUCUUCAGGGUUUACCACUGCUAAUGUUGACCUCGUUGCUGCAAUCACUCGAGCAUUUCAUGUGUAUUCGUGAUGCCCACACAUCGAUUGCAAUGGCAAUGUUCUCGAUACGUUGCGCACCAAAUUAACGAAAGAAAUUUACUCUUCUAGUAGUAAUGGGGUUAUUGACCCAUCUGCAUUGGUGAAGUAUAUACUAUAUAUUUAAUUUUGUUCUUGAAUCAUGAUCGCGAUGUCAAUGAAUAGUAUCGGUACGUGUGAGUUAAUGUUAUUCGUUCCGCGUUAGGUAAAAGUAUCAGUCAGAAGAAUUUAACGGAUAAAAUGAGUAAUUUUGGAUCGUAGCGAGGGUCGUCGAUUACUCCAAGAACUCGAUCUACGUUUCUCGUUUGUCAUUAAAUUCUCUAUAGACGAAGUAGAAUUUUCCAGGCACGCAGGAACUUUUAUCGAUCAUUGGAAUUUGUCAAUGUAACGAGAAACGAAUUUCUUUGUUCCAACACCAAAUUAUCGAAAGUUUAACCAAGCGAUUGCUCUCAAGUGCAUAAUGCAAUUCUCGAGUAAUCGAAGAUACGUCAGUCUCCGAUCGAAUAACGACGCAUCAUCUCCAAGAUUACAGUAAUACGUUUUAUUAUCGUUUCUCCUGUUAUCAUCACAGUUCGAACUUCACGUUUAUUUGCCUUAGACCUUCCGGUUAAUUCGUAUCUCAAAGGAUAAAUUGUUCGUUUGCCUAACGUACAUGAUAGUCAAAGACAAAAUGAUAGACAAAAUAUAUCGGACUAACGCGAAGAAUCCUCUAUCGCCUUUGUCACAGAUUUCUAUAGAAACGAGAAAAUGUUCUUCUAUUCGCGACGAUAAGAAGUAUGCAUAUAAAGCGAAAUGAAUUUUUAUUAAGAAGAUGAUAUUUGAUGUAUGCGAGAAGUUAUGUAAAACGGAACAUCCGUAACCUUCUCACACAGGAAAUACAUAUGUGCACAUACCGUUCUCUUUAAAGUUAUCAUAUUUCUGUUCCAGCCAAGAAAUCAACUUGACACGGUUUCUUCCCCUUAAACAUCUAUCUAUUAUCGAGUACAUUACGCGGAUUUGAAUACUAAUGUACUUAUCCUUCAUCGGAUGGCAUCACUAUAUAACGCUAUGAAAAUUCGAAAAAUUUGUAUGUCAAAUUUUUAAGUUCCAAUGUCCAAACGUUAAUUCGUAAUGCUUUAUAGUUAGUAAUUUUUUGUAUAAAUGAAGCGAACUAAACGACGAUAAUUUCUCAAUGUCAAAUAAAUACAUAUCUAGAUUGAAACCUCUCACGACUCCUUCUAAUAAAUACAAUGCAGACGAUAAAUUCACAUUUAUGUGUAUCGACAUUCGUCUUGCUUUACCAUUUUAACGUAAAACAAUGAUUUAUCGUGUCUGGAACUUUCACCAGCAAUCAGCUUCAUCUAAAUAAAAGCAAUAUUAAAAUGCGCUUGUCACAACUUAUAAUGGAAUAUAAAAUCACACUCUCGUAUUACCGAAACCGUUUUGGCAAGCGUUUCGUUAUCGAUUCUAAUCUCACCAAGCUGGGUAUCCACUUAACCGACAGCUCUCUCCACUCAGAAACACAUCAGAUUUGGCUAACCUAGUUCUACAAGGUAUGAAUUCGCUGAGAGAUGUGAAUAGUCACUUUUCCAUGUUUAGGUGUCAAACCACUAAUUCAGUGGAUGCCUCGAAUUUAAUGGAAAUUCCUGUCUGCGCUGAAGACGCUGAAACACUUGAUGCAAUUUAUCGCAAGGACUUGGAAACUUGAGAAAACGUCGAUAAUAAAAUACUUACUGUUCAAGUUUUGCAUCAAGAAUAUUUAUUUUUUUACGCG